UAAUAUUUUCAUGGAGUUACACAAGAAAACUUCUCCUUCUUAAAUUUAUUUUCUUUGGUUCUAGGUUUUUUUCCUCCUUUUUCUUUUAUUUUUUCGUAAGUUGUAUCAGUUUUGAAAAGAAAAAUAGAAAUAUAAAUAAACACAAAAAUCUCUCUAGUUUCAUGAAUAAUGUAUUGAUAUAUUUUUUUCUCUUUCGUAAAAAUUUAGCUUUUAACAAUAUUUUAUUUUCUUAUUAUAAAUUUAAAUAUUAAAUAAUUUUAUUUGAGGGACAACAUUUUUUUAGUAAGCUUUAGAUGCUAUUUAAGUCCGGACCGGCACUGAUUACUCAUAGUAUCAAAGCAGAAGCAAAGAUUUCCACGUACAUUUUUUUUUUUGUCUCCGUCUAGCGAAGAGAGGAGGGAAACCACCCAUUUUUAUUGUUAUUUCUCUAUUUGUUAUAAUUUUGGUCGGUUAGAAAACCAUCUCUUAAUGUUGGAUAUAUAAAUGAAAAAUAUUAUAAUAUGUCCAAAUAUAUAUAUUUUUAAAUUGUUGUUUCGGAACAAUCAGUUUUGAUAGCAAUCUUGUAACUUUCAAUAAUGGACAUAUUAUAGUAUAAUAAUUUGUAAAUUUUUUGGUCAAUUACAUACCGGGACCACUCAUCAAAUUUUCAACACUCAUUUAUUAAAUCAUAUAUAAGGGGAAAUCACCAAGUUUUUUUCUAGACUUAAGCAGGACAUAAUAUUCUAUAAAACUUAACUAGAUUUUGACCCAUAGUUUAAAAACGCAGAUUUUGUUCUCUUUUUAAAUUAUAUAAAAUUUGUUAAUUAUAAGAUUAUGUGUUUUUACAUAAGAUAGUCUGAUACAUUUAAAAUUGUGUUGAUUUUCUUUUACGUUUGAAAAAUAAUAAGAGGUGUUAGAUAUGCUAUAAGAAGUUGUAUAUUUAUAUUUACAGAAAUUAACUUUAGAAAAAUAUUUUAUUAAUUUUAAAUUUAUUAUAAAGUAUUUAUAUUUAAAAAUAUAAUACUAAAGAUAUUUCACAUUGCAUAUUUUAAUUAAUUAGAUGCAUAUAUUUGUUCCAAUCAUAGAAAAAAACAUCUAUAAAAGGUUGCCAAAAAUGAAAGUUUACGAUUUUUUUUAUUCCCCAUAAUUAAUAAAAUACAAUACACAAAGAUACAUCACUUAAUUUUUAUAACAAAAUUUAUAUUAGUUUCAAUGCUUUAUUAUCCAUAAGAUUAAGUUUAUGUAACUGAUUAUAAAUACCAAAUUAUUCAAAAAAGCUGGCUAAAAGGGAAUUUACGAUGGAUAUGCUAAACUUUUACCAAAGUAAAUGCAAACUAGGUAGUGAUCCGCGCUUUGCGCGGGAUGAGAUUAUUAAUUUUAUAUUUUAUAAAAAACAUUAGUUCUGUUUAAACUGGAUAACGGUUCGGUUUAACCAUGUUUUUUUCUGUCUUUAGUCUAGUACACUAUAAUUACCAUUUGAAAUCCAUAUUUAUUUUGUUUUGUUCGCUUAAAAUGUGUGAGUUUUAUUAUUUUUUGGUAUAAAACUCAAAAUUAUUAUUAUUUGUUUGGUUUAAUGUUAUAUGCAUUUUAGGCUGUUUUGAUGUCUAACCAAUGGUUUCAUUUAAAAAUUUCUAAACGAAUGAAAAAUCAAACUAAAUAUAAAUAAUAGUUGAAGAAAAAAGACAUCUAAUAUUAUUUUUGUUGUUUGUACAAACAAAUUAAAAUGACAUUUUAAAAUUAUGCUCACGUAUAUAAGAUUAUCUAAUAUUAUUUUGCUGUCUAAAAUUUCAUAUAUGUUAGACAUAGUAUAAAAUCUGUAUAUUUAUAAUCAUUGGAAUUUUUUUAUUGAGUUUAAUAAUAUAAAAUUUAUUAAUAUUAUUUUUAUCUAAUUUAUAUUUAAUAGUUAUUUUUAUUUACUUUUAUUUUCCCCUAACUCUAAUAUAAUUUAUAUAGUAAAAUAAUUAGAUUUUGAAUGAAUACUGAUAUUUCAAUCUUUUUAUUUCUAUGUUAUUGUUUACAUAAAUGGAUAUUAAGAAUAUACACAAAAUAAUUUUACUACAAAUGGGCCGUUGUAGUUUUUAAACCCACCAUACAAUAAUAAAAAAUGGGCCAUGUAUAUUCGAUUGCUUUUGUUUGAUAUCUGACCCAUUACAAAAAAAAAAUCAGUUUACUCGUACCGAUUAAGAAAAAAAACUUUACUUUCUAUUCGGCCAUUUACCGUCUGCAGCUGCAUCUAUUUGAAGAAAGAAGAGCAAUUGCCGGCUUGUUAAGACAAACAUCUCGCCUCCUCUCCGAUCUGUCACAUCAGCAUCCUCCUAAUCGGUGUUGAGAUCAACCUUUACAACGAACCUCCUUCCACAAUCGAUUUUACUUUUGUGAAGUCAUGGAAGAAAGUCGCGAACAUGGACCUACUGUAGACUCGGUCUUCAUUCAUGAAACUUGGUCCAUCUACUGUGUCUUCGAUUCUGACGCAAAUAUUCGUCAACUUCGUCCUCCCUUAAGCAUCUGAAAUUUCUGAGAUAGAGGACUAUUUCACCGUGAAAGAUGAUCCUGUUACACCAGAUCCUAAUGAGAAGGAAGAUGAUAUCUUUUAUUACUCACUUUGUGAUUUUGAGGUUUGCCUUUUUCAGAACCACUUUUGUUAUGAAAGUUAGGACUUCUUUAGACGGUUUCUUUGUGUUUCAUUUAAGUAAAACGCAGUAUUAGCAUUGCAGGCCAUGUAACUGAUGUGUUGAAGGGUUCGCCCACAGUUGCAGGGUAAGGUUUGGUGGUUUAACACCUGAAUCUAAAACUCUGCUGUUUUGUUUGUUUGUUUGUUUAUCUAUAAGCUUACUCUUUGGAUGUUUGGUGUAAUCAGUGUCUCAAUAACUGCGUUGGGAAUAUGAACUACGACACUUCCAUACUUCUAAUGGUUUUUGUUUUGCCCAUGGUUUGUACAGUCUCUCUCAACUACUUAAAACAAAAACCUAUAGCUCAUUCAAGUAACAGCAUUGAUUGUAUUUUGUUGCAACAACUAAUGAUAGAAGGUGGAACAGCGAAUGCCAUAUUUUUCAGAUGUUUUGUGGCAAAGAAAGGGACGGAAACUAAACUCAAGAGAAGCCUCAUGUAAUGUUCCCUAGAUGGUGGACUCUUUUAAUGAGUUGAGAUUCAUCUUCAGAUGAAAACUCCAAUUUUGAAAGACCAAGGCAAAUGUUGAUCACAAUGUUUAUGUUCAAGAAAGCACAUGAGAUGAAUACAUAACUCUUUUUCAGUUGAUAUUUUCCCUUCAAAUAUAGUAUUCGUGUCUCAACAGAAUUAGCAGAGACCAUCCAGAAAUAUCGAAGGAGAUGGGCUUCCAACUUCUUCCUGCUGAUCAACAAGAAACCAAGUUACCAUAGAAGCUAAUUAUUUGGUCUCGAGAAUGCAGACCUUUGUGGAAGAAGACAUGCUGUUUUAUUUUAGGCCAGGAACCAAUGGAAUUAAACUCAGAAAAUGCUUUACGGUCCUUAACUUCUGGUCUACUGCCUGGAAAAUGUAGUGCUUAUGUAAUUUGUUAACGCAUCGGAUCGGAGUGUGAUGAGAUUGCAAUUGACAAAUUACUAACCAACGUUUUAACCAAGGAGAAACCAAAUCCAAGCUACCGGUUUAGCUGUUUUACUAUUUACUCUUUAUUUAUUUAAACUCAAAUAACAAAGAGAAAGACUUUGUCUCCAACACUCAACUCUAGCACGUUUAGUUUUCCUACACUUCACGUACCCAUUUUCUUCAUGUUUUAUAGGAACUAUAGUCUAUAGUCCCAUAUCUUCUAUAUCUAAAUCAAUGGAAAAAUCUAAGUUACGUAUCUUUCUGUCUAAAUCAGAGGAAAAGUCUAAAAAGAAGAAUGAUAACUACCCAAUAUAAAAGUGUGUUCUUAGUUUGUUCUUGAACAAUUAGGACUUUAAUAUUUUUUGUUCGAAGGACUUUAAUUGGUAUCAAACUACAUGUUUCUAGAUCAAUAUUAGGUGAUCCUAUAAAUGGGCACUAUCAUAUGGUAACAGCUAAAAAAACUUUUACCAUAAUAAAUUUUCACAAUUAGGAUUGACUGUCAAGAAAAAAUUAAUAGGUUGGCAAACUAAACAACUGUAUAAAGCUAACAAUUAUAAACUCCCAAUAAAAACCAACUGUAUUAAUCAACAUUUUCUUUGGGAAUUAAUUAAUUAACACACAAAGAGUUACAAUUAUUUUAAACAACAGAACUGAUAGCCCAGUGUUUUAUUUAUAUAUAAACAUUUUAUGUUUUUAAAUAUUAGAUAUUCAAUCAAAUUUAAACAUUCAAUCCAGUAAGUCAUUUUAAAUAAGCAUAUAAUCUAGAAGAAUCACAUUUACUAGAAAAAAAUACUCACUUUUUCAUAAUUUUUUUCUUUUCAAAAAUUAAUAAAAUAUACAUAUAAAUUAGUGUGCGGGUUACACAGUGUCGAUUCAGAGAACUUCUUCACCUGAUUGUUAGUAAAAAUAGAUAUUAGCUGGUUUUAAAUUAAAACAAAUUUAAUUAUUUGUAAAUUUAAACUAUUUAUUCAACCUCUUCACCAUUAUCUAUAUAUUAAUAUUAGUAAGAUAAUAAAAUUUAAUAAUUUCAUAUUCACUGUUAAAUAAAACAAUACAAUAAAAAUAAGUUCAAAUUUGUCUAAUAGUUUUAUAUCUAUAAUCAAUCUAAAUAUAUAUAUAAUAUAGAUUAAUUCACAUACAAAUGAUAGAAUAAUACAGUUCUAUUUAUACAUAUAGUACAUAUAGAAAAAAUCCGGGCGUAGCCCGGAAUAGCCUCUAGUAACUAUAAAAACCAAGAGCAGAAUCUUAUAACGGAUUCUUCUUUAAUAUUAUAGAUACUAGGUGGCUUCACAUCCCGCGCUUGCGCGGAGUCAGUAUUUAUUAUAUUUUCUUGUUAGUUGGAAGUUCUAUAUUCUUGGUCAAAUUGUUUUAGUUGUGCUAUUUCUAUUUAUUUCGGUUAUUUGACAUGUGACCACUGUAGUUACGUUAACUGUUAUAUCAUAACCAUUGAUCUUAUUAUUUCGUAUUCUUUUCAAAUAUUUUCUCAUUAGUUGGACUUUGGUCUUUAAUCUUCUACUUCUGUUUUGUUUGACGUUGUCAUAAUUCCCAAUAUUUAUUAUCGAAGUAGAUGCCCUUUUCCUAUAGAAAUUGUGAUUACAGUUAAUUGUACAUUCGGGAUGAUGACUUCCUGUGUGACAUUGACCAAGUCUCCAGACCACCAUCUUCCAUGUUUUGGUACUUAUGCUCAUGCUCAUGCUCAUGCUCAGUGUAGUUACUAUACAGAUGAAUGUCAUAUAAAAUCUAUCAUUGAAUUGGUCUUUUGUAACGUUUGCCCAUGUUUUUUUUUGUAAUGCUUGUCGAUGGUGAGAAGAGUCAUUUCUCUCAAUGAUUCGUGUUUCAUGCGUUUGUUUUUGUAAUCUAUAAUUUUUUUAAAAAAAGUUCCUCCUUGUUUACAAUGGUCUAAUUGUUGUUACACUUCAUGCAUAAAUAAUAUUGCGAGAGAAAUAAAUAAUAAGCACCAUUCCGUCAA